rnacentral:rRNA from 1 species
UACGUAGGUGGCAAGCGUUGUCCGGAUUUACUGGGCGUAAAGAGCGCGCAGGCGGUCGACCAAGUCGCGUGUGAAAGCCCCCGGCUCAACUGGGGAGGGUCACGCGAUACUGAUCGACUCGAAGGCAGGAGAGGGUAGUGGAAUUCCCGGUGUAGUGGUGAAAUGUGUAGAGAUCGGGAGGAACACCGGUGGCGAAGGCGGGUCUCUGGGCAACUCCUGACGCUGAGGCGCGAAAGCGUGGGGAGCAAACGGG